AUUUGAUCAAUAGGAAAUCGAUACAUUUGAUCUUCGUUCUCCAUUUCUAUUUCAUUUCCAGGGUUCUUGAUUUCCUUGACAAAUCCUUCUUCUUCACGGGAUCAAGAAAACUUGGCAGUUCUUCAUUUUCCAGGGGUUUACUGACAAGUUGUUGGCAUGAAAUGAAGAGAAGGCAUGGGUGAAAACACCGCAGAGGACGUAACGAAAAGUAGGAAGAUGAAGCAGGUUUACAAGGGCAGGCUCUCAUAUAAGUUUACAAUGGGAGAAGUGAACUUAGUGGAAAUGGACAGGCAUCCAACGACGACAUUGUAUGGAACGCCAGGAGAAGCGGCGGCCAAGUCAUCGGGGUCAAAAUCCAACUGCCUUUGCUCACCUACAACUCAUGCCGGAUCUUUCAGGUGUCGUUACCAUAGAGCUGGCUUCCCAAGGGCUGCUUCCGUUGGAUCAAAACUUUCCAUGCUCGGCGACACCAAGUCCCACCAUAUCAGUGAUUCUCUUCAAGCCCAAUAGGAGCUUCAAUGAUUUUUGGAUUUCCUCUGUGUGAUGUAUGCAUGCAUGCCAUCCUUUGUAUUCUAAACUCUCAUGAUUUUUAAUGUAUCAAAGUUGUGGAAAGUUUGGAUAUUUUAUGCCCCUAAUUAAAACUCUAUUUAUAUGAGAAGAAAA